CUUAUAAGAAUAGGAGAAGUCAGCACAUGUAUUCCCCAGGAGGCUCCAAGCAGGUUGCAUGGUAAGAAAGGGAGUAUGUGAGUAAAUAAGUGAAUAAGUGUCAGGCCAGAUAACAGACCGUGAGACUUAAACUGUAUGUGUUAGAAAUCUACAGUGUUAGGGGGAUUCCCCAUCAUAAUCAAUGGAAAGAGGUUAUAUUGGAUGGCCAAGAGUGCUUCCUAACGGAGUACGGGAGGUCAAGCUAGCCUAUCAAGGCCAGGAGCAUAGUAGAGUCCCAUAACUUAGAGAAGAACAGGCUAUAAUUAAAUCUGGCAGGUCAAGCCACAUGAUAUUACUGGGUAUUUCGCCAGGGCCAUCAUCUGGUUACAGGUCCGCGAGUCGGAUCGCUUCGGUUCUCUUGAAUGUACAUCGGAGCGAGGUGAACUGCCUUUCUUGCUGCCAUGUUAGGGCGCAAAGCACCGAAGGAGCACCCCAAUCUACGCUGUGGUUUUGGAAUCUGCUUUCGUGGUAGGUAAACUUUCACUUAGCUCGAGACAGAAGUCAUCAAAAAUUUCAUCCAGCCUGGAUAGGAUAUCAGGUUUACCCUCUGUGGUGCUGGGGACCCACGCAGCAUUUGCUAUUUUGAGCCUGUUGCAGGAGGUAGAAGCACAGUGUCACGAACUCCAGAACCAGACACGCUGACAGAACUCAGACACAGGAAUUGCAGUACCAGUCCUUAGAGUGGCCGGGCUGUGCACACAGAGAGAAGUCAGAAUAUAAGGCAAAGUCAGAGGGAACCAGAGAGACAGAAUAAUCAAUACGGCAA